GACGAACGCUGGCGGCGUGCUUAACACAUGCCAGUCGAACGGAAAGGCCCCAGCUUGCUGGAGUACUCGAGUGGCGAACGGGUGAGUAACACGUGGGUAAUCUGCCCUGCACUCUGGGAUAAGCCUGGGAAACUGGGUCUAAUACUGGAUAUGACCUUUCUCCUUAUGGGGUUUGGUGGAAAGUUUUUCGGUGUAGGAUGAGCCCGCGGCCUAUCAGCUUGUUGGUGGGGUGAUGGCCUACCAAGGCGACGACGGGUAGCCGGCCUGAGAGGGUGAUCGGCCACAUUGGGACUGAGAUACGGCCCAGACUCCUACGGGAGGCAGCAGUGGGGAAUAUUGCACAAUGGGCGGAAGCCUGAUGCAGCGACGCCGCGUGAGGGAUGACGGCCUUCGGGUUGUAAACCUCUUUCAGCAGGGACGAAGCGUAAGUGACGGUACCUGCAGAAGAAGCACCGGCUAACUAUGUG
rnacentral:rRNA from 1 species